GGAGGUGAGUUUAGCAAGCAAGGGGCUGCCUCAAGAAAUACAUAUGUUUCACACCAUCACUGCAUCUGAUACGUGAUUUGGUGGAAACGUUGUUGCACCUCCAUGCUUUUGCCUUGCAUCUUCCAGAAACAUGUCACGCAUCUCUCACCGCUGCCAGGUGGGAAGAUCUACAUCUCCUCAGCUGCCAUCUCCACCGUUCAUAGCAUAGGAUUGGCCUUAUAAAUAUAAAUGUAUCAGAUUAUGAUAUCACUUUUGGACAUUGAGAGAAAUGAUACGCUGAUGAAUUGUUUCCAGCCUUUUCUCCACCGAAAGUCAAUCAUCCUUGUGCUUAUUUCCAUUUCUCCUCUUCCGAGAGAAGGCCUUCUGAGCUAGUUCCAUUCCACCAAAGCACUUCAAUCCACUUCACUUUCCAUUAUACAAACUCCUUCCGCUUCACAUUGUCUUCCAACUUCCAUUUGCAUCUGUUGUUACUGUGUCAUCACUUGAAGCUCACGGAUAUGCAAAGAAUAGCACCAAUCAUGGAGCUAUCAUUUGGUAUUCAGAGCAAGGUUCAAGCUACUGCCGUGAGCUAAGUCUUUCUUUUAAUCCAUACUAUCAAACAUAUCGUUUCUCUGUUUUUGUUGCCUCCAUGUGUAUUGUUCCAUUGUUGUCCAUCUUUAGGAUUCUGUUUGCGUCAUUUUAUUAUGUGCCAACUUUAUUUUGAUUUCGUUUUUCCUCAUUUUAUUCGGUCAAUUCAGAUUUGAGUCUUUCAAUUUGGUAAUCCAUCCAGAUCUGUCAAGUCUUGUGCAUGCAUUACUUUUGCUUGUUUUAAAUUCUGUGUAAUCUGUGAGUGGUGUCUGCAUCAAGUGAACCUGAAUUGCAAAUACAUGUUGUUCAUCAUUAAAGAGCAUUGAAAUUCAAGUGAAUGAGCUCGGUGACAAUUGUGCAAUCAGAUCUGAAAAAUUAAUUCAGUUACUUUGAUUUUAAAUGACUCGUUGAAGUACUGUUUUAGUGGUUGACUUGGUUUUGAAAUGCUAUUGAUGAAUGAGUCAAGAUUAUUGUGCUAAACUAAACUAGAAUGAAUACCAUAUAAGCAUGAGAUUGCUUUUGCAAUUAGCUUGUUAGUUUAACUGGAAAGUUCAAGUUGCAUCUCCAUUGGCAGUAGACCGAACUGCAUAUCUUUGUGUUUUAUUUUUGAUGUUUCAAUUCUGGAUCGGUAGUAGGUCAUUGCUGGACAUCUUAUUCACUAAUUCCAAUACUUUCUUCAAGUUUUAAAUGAUGAAUAUGGAUGCAAAUGUUAAUCCAAAGGUCAUUUGAUUCGUUGUAGCAAAUUCUGAUUGGCGGAGUUGUGAAAAUUAAUCCAAUUCUGCUGCAUAAUCGGGUUCAAACAGUCCAAUUCUGCACUGAUUGAAUUUUGCUUCAAAAGUCAGUUUCAACAAGUUUAUUCUGACCAUUAAAACUUGGUUAUGCAAAGAAAUUGUGCUUGUAAUAAUUCUGCAUGAAUUUCACUGUCUAAACCACCAGAAUUAGCUUUCUUUGUUGAGUGCAAGCUGCAUAGUUUUUGGCAAGUAUAAUCUGUUUUGUUUGGUGCAUGGUGAUAGCAUAAACUUGUAAGCAAAAGCUUGGUCAAGUGUUUUAAAUAUAACAGAAAAGAAUCCACGAAUAAAACCUUGCAAAUAUACUCAAAAAGCUAAUUGACCAGUGCAAGUAAAAUUGGCAAAAUCUGAUGCACCAAAACUGCUUUUCAUUCAGGCAUUUUGUCAAACAGAUUUGACAGAUUUUUAUUUGCCUUUAAUUCCGAUUCAAUUGCAGCUUGAUUUUGUUUCUUGCUUAGUUAAUCUGUGUUAGAACCAUUCCUAAGCUUCUCUUUGCUGUGCCAUCGUGUUUCUAUACCUUUUCUUGCUUUAAUUCCAAUUUUUGGCACUCUUGCAUACCACCUAUUUGAUAAAAGGUGAGUAGUGCAGUCUGGUUCUGCAGUAGAUAGUGUGCUUCUUAUUCACUGCUUUCACUCACUCGUGACUCAUUUGUGAUAUGUUGGAGGUGCAUUAGUGGAAGGUUGAAUUGUCUCAGAAGUUUCUUCUCUUCGGUAGCCUCCUAGGGAGUGGAGAAGUGGUGGAAAGCACAUGGACACGUGACUGAGGUGCUGCAACAUUUUCUGCUAGAACCUUCCAAGAGUUGCAACUGUUACAUCAGUUUUGCCUACUGCCAAUUAAAGCUUCUUUGCCUGCAACUGUGAGGCUUGCUUGAUUGCAUCAGAAUCAAUAAGUUUUUACUUGAGAGAAGCCCAAAGUUGCAUUGCACAAACACCCUAUAGCUAUGAGCUUUUGAGAGCAGUGUUAAAUUCCUGGUCUGCACCAUAUUCUAAUUGUUGGAGUGAGUUCUAGAAAAGCAAAUCAACACCCCUCCAACUUGCAGCUGUGAGAUUAGUUUGUUGGACAUUUACAACACUAUUAUUGUGAGAAGCCAAAGCUGUUUUGCCAAUUUUGUUAUUGAUUCUGAAUCAUCAAUUGAAUUCACAAGGAUAAAUGAAUUUAGACCUAAAAUUGAACUGAUUUUGUCAAAUACAAUUGAUUUCUAAUUUUUUCGGAGUAUAGAAUUAUGCAGAUUUGGUUGGGAAAGCCGUGUACACCAAAAUUGUGACCUGGUUUGAGCGUUGGAACAGCAGACUACCAACACCAUCCUCUGCAGCAUAUGCAUUUGACAAAAAAAAUCACUGAACUGUGAAAGGCUUUGUUAUUCCCAGCUGCAGCAGUGGGAAACUGGAUCCAUCUUCCACAUCAAUUGCAUUGAAGCCGAGAGAGAGUAGUUGUGCAGUUUUGAAAAGCAUAGGAGACUCCAAAAGUAGUCCAGCACAAGGAAUUUGAACAAAGACCGUGUCAGCAGUGUGAAAUUUUGUAAUUGCUUUGUUCAUUUUUGGAUAGGUUUUUCUUAUGUUAGUUUCUUUUAUUUGUAAAAGGUCAUUUAAAGUCCAAGUCUUUUGGAAGAGUCCUUGGUGCUCUUUCAACUCUUGGCAAUUGUUUGAUUUGUUCUUGUGAUUGAAUUCUUUUUGUCUUUCACGUUUAGUAGAGUCCAAAUAUUAGGAGUCUAGUUUGAUUGUUUGUGAGUUUGUGUACUUUGAUUUUAAAGGUAAUUUUAUUUUAAAGGAGAAUUAGCUAGUAGCUUAAGCAGUCUUCAUGACUCACCUCUCUUACUUGGGAUUUGUCUAAAAGUGAAACUUUUAAUCCUUUAGAAUAAGAAAACUUUUAAAGAUGUCUUGUUAUAGUUCAUAUAGGUCUUCUUC
rnacentral:lncRNA from 1 species